ACAUUUGUUUCAUUACCUCAAUUCUCUCUUCUCACUUCACCAUUCUCUCCAUUUCCCUCUCUCUUUAUCUACUGUUUUUUCUUCUAAAAUUCCUUCUUCCUCUUCCUCUUUCUCAACAGCAACAAUAUACCGAGCGUAGUCCCAUAAAUAGGGUUUCAGGAUGGUAGUGUGUACGCAGACCUUAUAGCUACCUUGUGAAGGUAGAAAGUUUAUUUCCGACGCUCGGCUCAAUUCCGACGAAGUCCUAGUCAUGCUUUUCCACAGCUUUCUUGAACUUCUUCUAGCUGAAUUUUGAUCUCUCUUUAGGCAAUUGUGGGUAGUUUUAAUUUGAGAGAUGAGAUUUAAAGCUCUGUAAGUCCAAGAAAGCUGUGGGAAAAGAUGACAAGCUUAGGACUUUUGUUUCCAUAUAUGGAGUUGAAGAGAUCUGCAUUUUCAUGGGCAAGAAGUAGGGAGGGGUAAAAGGGGUUGCUUUCAACAUACCACUGAUAGUUAAGCAAUUCAUAACAAUUUUGAGGAGAAGUAGUUUAACUUAAUUACUAUACCUGUUAACAUGCAUUUCCCAUGGGAAUGAAUAAUAAGUAUUUGAAUUGAUAUGUAAAUAGUAGUAGGGUAGUCUAUGUUUUGGUUUAAAUAGGCCAGACAAUAAGGGAUGGCUGCUCUCUGUGAACUUUAAAAAGUAUAUAUAGUACUACUUUUAUUGUAUUAUUAUUUACACAUAAUCUUACUUUUUUUGUUUAA